UUUUUUGAUCAUAGUCAUUCUGACAGGUGUGAGAUGGUAUCUCAGUGUGGUUUUAAUUUGCAAAUCUCUGAUGAUUAGUGACAUUGAGCAUCUUGUCAUAUUUCUGUUGGCCACCUGUACGUCCUUUUUGGAGAAGAAUCUAUUCAGGUUCUCUGCCCAUCUUU